UAAUACGAAGGGUGCAAGCGUUACUCGGAAUUACUGGGCGUAAAGCGUGCGUAGGUGGUGGUUUAAGUCCGUUGUGAAAGCCCUGGGCUCAACCUGGGAAUUGCAGUGGAUACUGGAUCACUAGAGUGUGGUAGAGGAUAGUGGAAUUUCCGGUGUAGCAGUGAAAUGCGUAGAGAUCGGAAGGAACAUCUGUGGCGAAGGCGACUAUCUGGGCCAACACUGACACUGAGGCACGAAAGCGUGGGGAGCAAACAGGAUUAGAUACCCUGGUAGUCCACGCCCUAAACGAUGCGAACUGGAUGUUGGGUUCAACUUGGAACCCAGUAUCGAAGCUAACGCGUUAAGUUCGCCGCCUGGGGAGUACGGUCGCAAGACUGAAACUUAAAUGAAUUGACGG
rnacentral:rRNA from 1 species